rnacentral:tRNA from 1 species
GCCCAGGUGGCGGAAUUGGUAGACGCAUACGGUUCAGGUCCGUACGCCGCAAGGUGUGAAGGUUCGAGUCCUUUCCUGGGCACCA